rnacentral:rRNA from 1 species
UACGGAGGAUCCAAGCGUUAUCCGGAUUCAUUGGGUUUAAAGGGUGCGUAGGCGGAAUGAUAAGUCAGUGGUGAAAGCCUGCAGCUCAACUGCAGAACUGCCAUUGAUACUGUCAAUCUUGAGUACAUUUGAUGUGGGCGGAAUGUGUCAUGUAGCGGUGAAAUGCUUAGAUAUGACACAGAACACCGAUUGCGAAGGCAGCUCACAAAACUGUAACUGACGCUGAGGCACGAAAGCGUGGGUAUCAAACAGG